UAGCAUAAAAAGCAUUUAUUGCCAGGAACAAAAAGAACAGCACAAAUAACUGCGGAAGGAUCAGAUUAACAAUGUGGUAAGCGGGGCUGGGGAUUUAGCUCAGUGAUAGAGCGCUUACCUAGGAAGCGCAAGGCCCUGGGUUUGGUCCCCAGCUCGGAAAAAAAAGUGGUAAGCAAGGAAGAUAAAUUUGGAGUUGCAAAUAUUUCAAUCUUAAGUAGUCUAAGGAGAAGAGGAAGGGGGUAUGGGGGGGCAGAGAAAUAUAGCCUCUGGCAGUGAAAUAAAUAUUAAUCUGCUCCAGCGGUACUGAAGAGAUCAACCAUUUCACUUGGAGUGCCACUGAUACUGCUCAGAUGCUAAAAAUCCACAAGGAAUCAACAGGCUGUAUUCCAUGAGUUCUGAAGUUUGCCGUGCCACUGGCCUAGGUAAUCGGAUCUUUGAUUUCAGUUCCUGUAAGUUUUCUCACCUUACUUUAGCCUGGACUUUAUGAAGAUGUGCUCUUAGUUUUCCUGCAAAACAUGUGCACACCACUGCACGCUGGCUGCAAUUACUUACCUCUGAAGCACCAAGUAACAGCACUGCUAACAGAACCUGGAGAAAAACAAACUAUUGAAAAGGCUUGAUAUGUAAGCACCCUUGCCCCAACACGCCACCCUUCAGUUUCUCAGGUGUUCCAGUGUUUUCAUUAGCAGUCAUAGUGAGCUAGUUGAUUCAUCACAGAAACAGCCAAUCUGGUGAACAAGACACACCACCCCAACAAUCUAACCUUCGAACGCUGGAGAUGGAUGGCGUGCAGGAACAACCUCCUCCUAAAAGAAAGCCCAAGCUCCAUCUGGACUAUUACCUGCAUUCAUCCCGGGUAUGAUUCUGGGGGUUUCAAGUCACGUUGCCACCCUGAUUGUAAGAAAAACUUGCUAUUUGUAAAAUUGAACAGGCCUGGCUCCAAAGUGCAAACGGCUUUGACAUUAGCCAUAUUUUGAAAUGAGAGCGUGCUCCCAUUCUUUCGCAUGUAAAAGAGUACCUUAAACC
rnacentral:lncRNA from 1 species